rnacentral:lncRNA from 1 species
AGGAGAAAGGGAGUGGAGGCGCGUCGGAGACUAUGAAGCGCGGCAUUCGGCGGGAUCCUUUCCGGAAGCGGAAGCUCGGCGGGCGGGCCAAGAAGGUCCGGGAGCCCACGGCGGUUAAUUCUUUUUACCGUGAGGCUUCACUUCCCUCGGUCUGGGCUUCUCUGAGGCGGCGAGAGAUGGUCAGGUCUGGAGCUCGACCGGGCCAGGUGUUAUCUUCAGGAAGGCACACUGGACCUGCUAAAUUAACAAAUGGAAAGAAAGCGUAAGUACUUGAAGACGUUUACAACUUCAGAUUUCAAGGAAUUUUUCAGGUCUUUGGGCUGGAUGACAUGUCGUCUACCCCAGAAAAUUAGGUAGGCCUCUACCAUCACAAGCUCUGAGGAACAAUUUUUCAUGUCUACCCAUGUUAAUCAUUUUAGUAUUUAACAGUCUUUCUGAUCUUCAGAAUGUGUUUAUAAAUUCAUCUUGUACAUGGUUGGACAAGCUUUCUUGUCUUUGCUGGAAAGAAAAUGACUACUUACUAAUAUAUUUUGGGAAAAAUAUUUGUAAGAAUAUUAAUAAGCUUGUUUUCCAGGACCUAUUUAAGAAAAAUACCACGUUUUAAUGCAGAUUCUGGCUAUUCCAUCCAUUCUGAUUCAGAAAGUCAGGUAAGAUUGAAUAGAUACAAUACACACUAUUUUAAUUAGUUUUCAAAUAGUAGCUAAAAAGUAGGAAUAAAAUGCAAAGUAUUAAUUGCUCUAAGGAAGUAUGAAGUCUGUUGCUUUAAAACAUCUUUUCUACCAAUAAUAGUUUGUAAAUAAACAAAUUUUAAAACUACAUAAUUUAUAUUUUUUCCUACACUAACAGUCAUAUACAAAUGUAUUCUAAAUGACUUUAUUUCUUACAGGCUGAAACUGUACACGGGCUUGAUGGUUGUGCUUCUUUGCUGAGGGACAUUUUGAGAAAUGAAGAUUCAGGUUUUUUUUUUUUAAUUCUUUGCUGAUCACCUUAUCUCAAGUCAUUAUUUUGAUGUAACAAAUUUUUGUUUUAUUAAUAGGUUCAGAAACAGCAUAUUUAGAAAACAGAUCUAAUUCUAGACCUUUAGAAAGCAAAAGAUACGGAUCAAAAAAGAAAAGACAUGAAAAACAUACUAUUCCUUUGGUAGUCCAGAAAGAAACAUCAUCUUCAGAUAAUAAGAAACAGAUACCUAAUGAAGCUUCUGCUAGAAGUGAAAGAGACACAUCAGACCUAGAGCAAAACUGGUCAUUGCAAGAUCAUUAUAGAAUGUAUUCACCCAUAAUAUACCAAGCCCUCUGUGAGCACGUGCAGACUCAGAUGUCACUGAUGAAUGACUUGACUUCAAAGAACAUCCCUAAUGGAAUUCCUGCUGUACCAUGCCAUGCUCCCUCUCAUUCUGAAUCUCAGGCAACUCCUCAUUCUAGUUAUGGCUUAUGUACCUCCACCCCAGUCUGGUCACUUCAGCGGCCACCCUGCCCUCCAAAGGUUCAUUCUGAAGUUCAAACUGAUGGCAACAGUCAGUUUGCAUCACAAGGUAAAACAGUUUCUGCAACCUGUACUGAUGUUCUACGGAAUUCAUUUAAUACCAGUCCUGGAGUUCCAUGUAGCCUGCCCAAAACUGACAUAUCAGCUAUUCCAACAUUGCAGCAACUGGGCCUUGUUAAUGGAAUUCUGCCACAACAAGGAAUUCAUAAGGAAACAGACCUACUAAAAUGUAUUCAAACAUAUUUGUCUCUUUUUCGAUCUCAUGGAAAAGAAACGCAUCUGGACAGUCAGACACACCGAAGCCCUACUCAGUCACAACCAGCUUUCUUGGCCACUAAUGAAGAAAAAUGUGCCAGAGAGCAAAUUAGAGAGGCCACAAGUGAAAGAAAGGAUUUAAACAUACAUGUGCGAGAUACAAAAACAGUGAAGGAUGUACAGAAGGCAAAAAAUGUGAACAAGACAGCUGAAAAAGUUAGAAUUAUAAAAUAUUUGUUGGGAGAGCUCAAGGCCCUGGUAGCAGAACAAGAGGAUUCAGAAAUUCAGAGGUUGAUUACAGAAAUGGAGGCAUGUAUAUCUGUACUUCCAACAGUAAGUGGAAACACAGAUAUUCAAGUUGAGAUAGCACUGGCCAUGCAACCAUUAAGAAGUGAGAAUGCUCAGUUACGAAGGCAGUUGAGAAUUUUGAACCAGCAACUCAGAGAACAACAGAAAACUCAAAAACCAUCUGGUGCUGUGGAUUGCAACCUUGAAUUGUUUUCUCUUCAGUCAUUGAAUAUGUCACUGCAAAAUCAAUUGGAGGAGUCACUAAAGAGCCAGGAAUUACUGCAGAGUAAAAAUGAAGAGCUGUUAAAAGUGAUUGAAAAUCAGAAAGAUGAAAACAAAAAAUUUAGUAGUAUAUUUAAAGACAAAGAUCAAACUAUACUUGAAAAUAAACAGCAAUAUGAUAUUGAGAUAACAAGAAUAAAAAUUGAAUUGGAGGAAGCCCUAGUCAAUGUGAAAAGCUCCCAGUUUAAGUUAGAAACUGCUGAAAAGGAAAACCAGAUAUUGGGGAUAACAUUACGUCAGCGUGAUGCUGAGGUGACUCGACUAAGAGAAUUAACCAGGAAGCAGAAGAUGCACCUGAAAAACUUUCCAGAGCAUCUGAUAUGAAGGACACACAGCUCCUCAAGAAAAUAAAGGAAGCAAUUGGUAAGAUCCCUGCUGCCACCAAGGAGCCAGAGGAACAAACUGCAUGUCAUGGCCCAUCAGGUUGUCUUAGCAACAGCCUUCAAGUGAAAGGCAAUACUGUCUGUGAUGGUAGUGUUUUCACUUCUGACUUGAUGUCUGACUGGAGCAUCUCUUCGUUUUCAACGUUCACUUCUCGUGAUGAACAAGACUUCAGAAAUGGCCUUGCGGCAUUAGAUGCCAACAUAGCUAGACUCCAGAAGUCUUUAAGGACUGGUCUUCUGGAGAAAUGAAUUCAGAAGAAAACUCAUCAGGUGCUUCUUUUUAAAACUAGAACUUGGCUAUAUUGAAUGUGUAUUUUUCUUUAGUGAAAUGAUGUUUUAUGUUAUUAUGUGUGAAGUAAUAUAUUGUACAAGUAAUAAAUGUAUUGUUGAGAUAUAUUGACACUGAGGAGCUUAUAAAAACAAGUCAUCUUAAGUUCACAAUUGCUACAAGAAGAAAGUUGUGGAUAACUAGGAAAUUAUUGUAAGUAAUGUUUUAUUUCAGUACUUAGCAAUUAGAGUUCUUUUAUUAAGAUGUAUCUGCUGGAUUAAGGGUACAGGUUGAAAUAGUUCUGUGGCUGUCCUAAGAAAUAAUGGGAAAAGAAUCUCUGGAUGUAAGUUUUUCUGUUGAAACUAGAGGGUUUUUUUUUUCUGUUUACAUAUACUUUUUUUUAAUAGCAAUGUGUUUUUAUUAAACAUGCUGUGUGCCACAGGCCAGUGUUGUUGGUGAAAUAUAUAAACAUUUAUUUAAAGAGAAAAGUUACCAGUAUCUACACCUCUUAAAAAACAUUGAUUGGUCUAAAAAAUAUAUAGAUAACAUCCUAAGUUAACAUAUGGCUUCUUAAAACUUGGGCACUUUUAUUUGUUUUUAUCCCAAAUUCAUGUUUUAAGGCCUUUAAAGAAUAGUCAGACUGAUAAAGAAGUGCUAACAGAUAAGCUAUAGUUGGGGAAAUUUGUGGGUUUUUUUUAAAUAAGAAAUGUUUAUUUUUGUCCUUAUAUUUAAACAUGAUGGAAUUUGUAAAUCUUGGCAUUGAUUGUAAUUCUGCCUUUUUGGAAGAAUUUUUUCUCCCAGCAUGUUAGCUGAGAAUAUUCUCUAUUUUAUAAAUAAUAUGAAGUAGGUUGGUCUCUCUGCUUCUCUAUACCAGGACUUCUUAGCUCAGUAUCAUCUCCCUUCAUGUAAGCAGCACGUUUUAACUCUUAGGAAGCUGAAUGUUGUGUUAUCACUAAUACUUUGUACAGGUCACCUGCCUACUCUAAUUGUCCUUAGUACUUGGACAGGCUUUAUCAUUAAAGAGUGUUCUCCUAA